GUGGGGAAUAUUGGACAAUGGGCGAAAGCCUGAUCCAGCAAUGCCGCGUGCAGGAAGAAGGCCUUCGGGUUGUAAACUGCUUUUGUACGGAACGAAACGGUCCUGGUUAAUACCUGGGGCUAAUGACGGUACCGUAAGAAUAAGCACCGGCUAACUACGUGCCAGCAGCCGCGGUAAUACGUAGGGUGCGAGCGUUAAUCGGAAUUACUGGGCGUAAAGCGUGCGCAGGCGGUGCUGUAAGACAGGCGUGAAAUCCCCGGGCUCAACCUGGGAAUUGCGCUUGUGACUGCAGUGCUGGAGUACGGCAGAGGGGGAUGGAAUUCCGCGUGUAGCAGUGAAAUGCGUAGAUAUGCGGAGGAACACCGAUGGCGAAGGCAGUCCCCUGGGCCUGUACUGACGCUCAUGCACGAAAGCGUGGGGAGCAAACAGGAUUAGAUACCCGAGUAGUCC
rnacentral:rRNA from 1 species